rnacentral:snoRNA from 1 species
GUGAUGAGGCACGGCUGAGGAUAGGUGACAGGUCCUAAACCAGGCUGA